ACUUUGGGCAAUGGCCGAAAGGCUGACCCAGCGACGCCGCGUGCGGGAGGACGCCCUUCGGGGUGUAAACCGCUGUCAGAGGGGACGAAUGGCCCAGGCGGGAAUACUGUCUGGGUGUGACGGUACCCUCAGAGGAAGCACCGGCUAACUCUGUGCCAGCAGCCGCGGUAAUACAGAGGGGGCAAGCGUUGUUCGGAAUUACUGGGCGUAAAGGGCGCGUAGGCGGCCUGUUAAGUCGGACGUGAAAUCCCUCGGCUCAACCGGGGAACUGCGUCCGAUACUGGCGGGCUUGAGUUCGGGAGAGGGAUGUGGAAUUCCAGGUGUAGCGGUGAAAUGCGUAGAUAUCUGGAGGAACACCGGUGGCGAAGGCGGCAUCCUGGACCGACACUGACGCUGAGGCGCGAAAGCCAGGGGAGCAAACGGG
rnacentral:rRNA from 1 species